AUGGGAGAGAAAAGCUUAGUAAAAGGUGGUGAGAGCCGUCUGCCACGGUCGCCGAGUGGCAUCAUUGGGGGUCUUUGUAGGUUAAAUUAUCCUGGACUGGUCACUUUACCGAACGGUAUCAUUGCGCGAGCUUGGUCAUGGGAUCACUACAAACUUGCACCGGAUUUCCUGGAUAUGCGUCAGAUGGUUUUUGACAACAGAGCCAUGCGAGGUGUCAAGGAUUUGUGGGAUUUCUAUACAUGCGUUGAAGGUCAGAAGGAUCGUGCAAAUGUGGUGGUUGAGAAUAUUGCCAAGAAACUAGUCCACGACAUUUACUAUGAGGUUAGUUCUCAAGUAUCUCGCGGACUAUCUCAACCAUAG
rnacentral:rRNA from 1 species